UUACAACACCCAAACCCCCUCCCUGGCUGCGCCACAGCUUGCAAUCCAUUCAUAUCGAAAUUUUCGUUGAAAAAUUACAUAUAUUUUGCUCGAAUAACCAUGCAAUAACACUUUAAAAAAUCGGGUUUUUGAAAAUAACUGCUUGUAAUAGGUAUUCCGUUUUAAAGAUGUAGUCACAAAAAACUAAAACGUCCAUCUGUUCUAGUCAUGUUUAAAAAUUUGCUGAAAUGUCAAGUAUGUCAUCGUCUUUGAUUUAAGAUCGCGAGAAAAUGUUAGGAUAGAGACAUCAUCAUUCAUAGAACAUGUCGGUCAGCCAGUACAGUUGAGAAGCCGUUUUUAUUAUCUAUGUCUAAGGAGGAUGGCUUUUCUUCGGGGUCUUCCUCUGAAGAUGAGGCCAUCGCCAUGGCAAACGAUGUUGCAAUUCCGGACAGUAACGAAGUUGUACAAACGGAUGUAACAGCGAACUCUAAAUCAACACCACCUAACUCCGUUACGGCAUUAAACUUCCAACGAUAAAGUUUUUACUCGAUUUACACAGAAAUCAUUAGUGGGUAUAUCGCAAACAAAUGUAUGGGAAUGAAGGUGAUUAUAGACCAUAGACCCAUUUUGCGGAGCUGGUAGAAAUAUAAUUGAGCUUACCAGAGUUUGCAAUUCAAUCAUAGCAAUCGAUAUCGACCCGGCGAAAAUUCAGUUAGCGAAGAAUAAUGCGGAAAUGUGUAAUGUGUAUAAUAAUAUAACAUUCAUAACGGGAGAUUUUUUCAAAAUUUAUGAUCAACUACAAAUAACAAAAGCGAUUGUUAGAUACACCACCGCCUUGGAGUGGUUCUAAUUAUGAUAAUAGCCAAUCAAUUAGUACAAACAAUAUUUUAGUCGACAACAUUUUGGAAUUGAGGAUAAAGGUAACACCAAAGAUUUUAUUACACAUGCCGAAAAACCUCAACACAAAUGAAGUAUAUACAUUAUUAUA